rnacentral:lncRNA from 1 species
UUUUUUUUUUUUUUUGCCCUGGAACUCAUAGCCCCAAAUCUCCAGUUUGUUUGUAUAACUGCUUCCAACCCACUGCUUCUUAUGUUGCUGGGGCUCCUUCCACGGACCCCAGCUGUGCCCUCAAGUUGGUGAUUCUAGUUUGGGCUCAAUGAAGGAAGCAGGAAGGGGCAGCAACUGAAUGUCACUCUCCACUGCUGCAGCAGUAAAUCUCUCAGUAAAAGAAGACCCUCUCCCUCAGGGGACUGUCACCUCAGUCCUCGGUAGUUCUGUAAUUUAUUGAACAUUGGCCCUUGGGUAUAGCUUGACCCUUCCCAGAAUCUGUUUUGCCAUCUGCCAUUUGAGGGUGCUUGUUCUAAACAGCCUUUGAGGGUUUUACCCCCUGUGUCUCUUCCCUCCCCAUUGCCUAUUUGCACCCUAUGCAUGUGGUCAUAUGUAAGCUGGAUCAUCUCCACAGCUGUGACCAGAAAUCCUCACGAAGGGCACAUUUCUAGGUAGACCCAAAUGGAACUAAAUCAUGUCACAAGCUGAGAGAAUUACUGAGUUCCUCUCAGGACCCCUGAAGAAGCUAUAAGUCAGUACCAGUAGCUUCAGGGUCUGUCGUAGGAGCGAGGACAACUGUAAACACAGGGUCCGCUGAUCAAGUCCUUCUUGCUCAUUGCAGUUUGAUUUGCCAGCAGUCAUACUGAGACUAGCUUGAUCCUACACCUGUUAGACAGUGGCAGAGAUAGGCCCAAGCUAAGUGGAGGCCAGGCCAGGCUGAGGGUGGGGCCCUCUGGGACCUAGUCCUCUAAGCUGUCUUUGUUAGAUACUGCUGAGUGAAAGGUGGACCGAGAAGGCUCUUGUGAAGCUCCAGGUAGACGGGAAUGUUCCUCGGUUCAGGUGAGAGCCAGAUCUAGAGAGUCAGAACCCGGGGGUCUUGAGAUAGGAGGCAAAGCAGCUAUGGAAGGGCUUUUGCUGGUUAAUCAUUUCUGAGGUGAAAGACCUUCUUCUCAGGGGGCAGGCUCCACCAGGAAUGGAGGAUCAAUCGCUGUAAUAUUCUAGUGUUGAGUGUAGCUCUUGGGGUCUGAACUAUGGAGGCUUGGUUGGGGAAUGUGGAUGCCCUUAGAUCCUUUUCUGGGUGAUAAUAGGGAUGUGGGCCUUUUGUGUUUAAGGAGAGUUUCUAAUAGGGCUGUGCUGGUAGAGUGUGAAGGGCCAGAGUCACAGUAUGGCACCGAGGCAGAAGGGAAGAGCUGAGACUGGCCCUGCCCUGCUUCUCAGUCUGUUCCACAUCCUAAGGUCACACCCUGUCAGGACUUCUUCGUACUCACCUGUCCCUUCCUGCAGCUUCCUUGACAGACAGGUUCUUGGACCCAGGCACCAACAUUCCAAGGGACACCAGCCAACCUGGGUGAGGGCCCGACUCUGUAUGUCUUCCCUUCCCUGGGGGGGGGGGGGGGCGGGAAGAGAUGUCCGAAGCAUUCCCUUGCAACCCGAGCACAUCAGCGAACCCCACGAAAGUGGAAUUUUCUAACAAAAUAAACUUGCUCAUUUGGUCCGUUUUCUGUAACUUUUGCUAAACACUUUAUACAUUUUUAAUGUUGAAAAGCAGUGUCUCCUGCCAGAACUCCUCACCCAGGAUGAAUGUGUUUACUCCACGCUGUAUAUCUUUCCAUGCUCCGGCUGCCUGGACCAGUAAAUAAAAUGGAUGUAAUAUAAGUUGUAAGUAACGUUGUCAAAACUCUGAUCCCGAUGGAGGCUGCACGCCUCCCCCACCCCAUGAUAGCAUCUGUGUGUAUUAAUUCUGAAGAAUUAAAUGUUUAAAUUAGAGUUU